rnacentral:lncRNA from 1 species
UGAGCUUGAGGAAUUGGAUUAUGUUAUGUUCAUAUACACCAAGGGACUUCUUCUUCCAGACCAAAUCAAGUAAAAUUGACUGGACAUUCUCUAUUCUCACAACAGUUAGAUAUUAAAAAGUACAAAAAAUUGCUAUUUUGACACACUGGAUAUAGCAUCAAAGGACAAUGAUGCUGAGAGACAAGGUCAGAUGAGCCCUCUUCUACUGAAGUUACAACCUCAAGAAAAUUUCCAGAUGGUGACCUCGAGAGAGAAGACCCUGGAAUGAAAUAUGGAUGGAAAUCCAGGGAUCACAGGGCAAGGAACCAGAGAGGCAGCUGAUAUACAACGAAAAUUCUAUUAUUCUGUGGAGGACCCACUUUGAAUAUCCAGUUAAAAAUAAAUCAGAACAUCUACAAAGAAGCUAAUCAGGAAGGCAAAACGUAUUUAAUGGAACCUGGCCAUACAGGAUGCUGCAACUGGUCAUAAUGAUGUGAAUAAGAUGGCCUUAAAUGAGCUUUAAUGAGGUCUUCUACUUGGCAAAGAACCUGUGAGACCAAAAACCAUUGCCAUUUGUUAAAAGAUGGAGAAACCCUGAUGACAAGCAGAUUUUUCAUUGCAUUUCAAGCAAAUGGUGAAUCUCCUGAUCCUCCCAGCGAUAAUGGUAUAGCUUUCUCUCCAGCUACUGUCUUUACCAGCUCACACCGAUGUUCAGCUCUUCCCACUGUUCACACCAACAACCUGAAGGAAGGUCUGGGAUUUGGGCCUGUAGACCUGCUACAUUCCUUAAGAUGGGUAGAAGGAAGAGGGGCUGUAGGAAAUCCUGUAAUUCAUGGUUGUUCCAUAGCGAACCAUCUGUGUACAGGGUUAGCCCAGUUAACUCCUGUCUUUCCAAACUGUUACAUGUUCUUCUGA